CAUCGAGGAAGAGAGGUCGCUUCUUUACGGUUCUGUCCCCUAGGCCCCUUCCUUCCAUAAGCCUACUCAGGACUCCACUGGGCUGCUGACUACUCACCCUCCCCCCAGGUCAACUCCUUACCCGUACACAGUUAUGUCCACCCAGGGUCUGCUUGGACACCUGUGCCUGAUGUUCACCAGGGGCCAGAUGUCGUCCUCAGGCCUGAUGUCCACCUAGGGCCUGAUGUCUGCCUUGGCCUAUGUCCCUCUUGGGGCCUUGUGUUCACCUGGGGACUGUAUCCAGCUGAGGCCUGAUGGCCUACUGGGUCUUGUUGUUCACCUAAGGCCUUGUGUCCACCUGGGGACUGGUGAUCACCUGGGGCCUGGGUGUCCACCUGAGGCCAGAUGUGCACCUAAGGCCUGAGUUUUCACCUGGGCCUGAUGAUCACCUGGGGACUGGGUGUGUGCCUUGGGUCUUUUCCCUUUUCCUGAACAGGGCUUGCAGUUUCCAAACCAGACACAAUCUCCCAGUUGGAGAAAGAAAAAGGAUCCUAGAUGAUAGUGAGACAAAUUUCAGGAAACUCCAUCCAAAUAAGUAAAUGAGAAUGAGGACAGGAUUCAUUGCAUGGUGGCAUGUGCCUGCAGUCCCAGCUACUCAGGAGGCUGAGGUGGGAGGAUCGCUUGAACUCAGGAGUUGAAGGCUGCAGUGGGUGAGGAUCACAACACUGAAUUCCAGCUUAGGUGACAGAAUGAGACCCUGUCUCUCUAAAAAACAAGCAAGCAAACAAACCAAAAACCACAAACAAACCAGAUCCCUCUUAGCAGAAUACUUCCAUGAGGUAAUAAAAGAAAGAAGAAAGUGAAACGAACAAACAAUUUUACUCAAGAAACUAGUGAGAAAUCAAAGAAAUGUCCAAGAAGUAGGAUACAAGAAUUAAUCAAAACAGAUUAACAGUGGAAUAAAUAAAUGAAUCCAACUGGUUCUUUGUCAUGGAAUGUGGAAAGACAUACUCUAUUCUUCUGGAUAGGAAGAUGAAAUAUCAUAAUCAUAUCAAUGCAAGUUUUAUGCAUGCUCAAACAUGUAUAAACUAAGAAAAAGUCUGAAAGGACAGACAGCAAAAUGUUUGCAUUUUUUCCUCCAAGUGGUAAGA